rnacentral:rRNA from 1 species
CGCGGCCUAUCAGCUUGUUGGUGAGGUAAUGGCUCACCAAGGCGACGACGGGUAGCCGGCCUGAGAGGGUGACCGGCCACACUGGGACUGAGACACGGCCCAGACUCCUACGGGAGGCAGCAGUGGGGAAUAUUGCACAAUGGGCGAAAGCCUGAUGCAGCGACGCCGCGUGAGGGAUGACGGCCUUCGGGUUGUAAACCUCUUUCAGUAGGGAACAAGGCCAGUGUUUAGCUGGUUGAGGGUACUUGCAGAAGAAGCGCCGGCUAACUACGUGCCAGCAGCCGCGGUAAUACGUAGGGCGCAAGCGUUAUCCGGAAUUAUUGGGCGUAAAGAGCUCGUAGGCGGUUUGUCGCGUCUGCCGUGAAAGUCCGGGGCUCAACCCCGGAUCUGCGGUGGGUACGGGCAGACUAGAGUGAUGUAGGGGAGACUGGAAUUCCUGGUGUAGCGGUGAAAUGCGCAGAUAUCAGGAGGAACACCGAUGGCGAAGGCAGGUCUCUGGGCAUUAACUGACGCUGAGGAGCGAAAGCAUGGGGAGCGAACAGGAUUAGAUACCCUGGUAGUCCAUGCCGUAAACGUUGGGCACUAGGUGUGGGUCUCAUUCCACGAGAUCCGUGCCGCAGCUAACGCAUUAAGUUCC